UACGUAGGUGGCAAGCGUUGUCCGGAUUUAUUGGGCGUAAAGGGCGCGCAGGCGGUCCGUUAAGUCCGAGGUGAAAUCUCCCGGCUCAACUGGGAGGGGUCUUCGGAUACUGGCGGACUUGAGGAGUGCAGAGGUGAGUGGAAUUCUCGGUGUAGUGGUGAAAUGCGUAGAUAUCGAGAGGAACACCAGUGGCGAAGGCGGCUCUCUGGGGCCUGUUCUGACGCUGAGGUGCGAAAAGCGUGGGGAGCAAACAGG
rnacentral:rRNA from 1 species